CAUCACCAGCAUCAUCAUCAUAAUCGAUAUAAUCGAUGAUGGGUUGGAGAGUUUGCCACCUGUUGUAAUUGUUUAAGGCGGCACGGGUCUAGAAACAGCAGAGCGCGUUUUUUUUUUUUAGAUAAAAACGUGAAAAACAUUUUUUUUGUUAGACCUGAGGGGCAAAAAUAGAGAGCAAAGGAGACAUUGUGGAUUACAGACAUGCUGCAGGUUGCAAUGCAUCGGUACAUUUCACGCGUUUCAUGUGCAAUGCACGAGGACAAUGAUGGCGAUUUCCUUUUGCAUGGAGUCAUUCAAGAGAUCAAGACCUAUAUUUCGGAUCCAAAGCCUUUUCUGAGGGUUGGUUUCUGUCUUUGGUUAUCUAGCUGUAUGAGUUAUAACACAUUUCAUAAAGCUAGAUAACCGAAAGUAGAAAUAAUCCUUAAAAAACUGUUCAAGUUGUCAAUCAAAAACUGCAAACUGCGGAAAGCGCGCCAUCAUUUACCUCAGAGUGAUUUUUCAUCCGCAAAAAGGCACAGUAAAGUAACAACAAGGGCAUCCGUGUGAAAGAGCCAGACAUGCUUGGAGGAAAUGUGGCAGCUUCCAUUCGCUACAUCUUUCCUUUUUCGCCUACCCAGAAACCCAGUGUACCAUCUGUGCCCCUGUGGGGCUCGGGAGAACCCAUGCCAGUGCCAGCGGGGACGCAAUCCUUGUCAGCAUCCUGGCGCCAAGAUGGACUGCUUAGAAAGAAAGGGAGGCCAUCUUGACAGAGAUCUUUCAUGAGAAGCUAAGAUGGCUGGGCUGACACAUGAGAAUGGACAGUGGACUGACCUAUGCGGAGACACACUUACCUCGUGGGAUAAAAUAAAUGAAAAUCAGCUGUAAUUAGAUGGCAUGAAAGAACAAUGGAAAAAUCCCAGGCACCUGAAUCUAAGCUGAAACAUAUUAAAUUGUGUGUGUGUGUGUGUGUGUGUGUGUGUGUGUGUGUGUGUGUGUGUGUGUGUGUGUGUGUGUGUGUGUGUGUGUGUGUGUGUGUGUGUGUGUGUGUGUGUGUGUGUGUGUGUGUGUGUGUGUGUGUGUGUGUGUGUGUGUGUGUGUGUGUGAGAGAGUUUUUAAUUUCAUGCAAAAGAAAAUUAAAUUAUUUUUCUGUUUAGAUCAUGUGAACUGUGUUUUUACAGUAGACAUCAAUUUUCAAUACACUGCUGUACAGGGGGUUAGAUAUAAAAAGUAUUUUACUGUAUUCAUUUCACUACAGUGUUUUAUUUUAGCUGUGAAUUAUUUGUACUAUUUAUUCAAAUGCAUUUUUUUGUUUUUUUUCUACAAUUUUUAUCCCUUUACAAUUUAUGUAUAUAUAAAUAAAUAUAUUAUCUUAUAUAUUUUUGUACUGGUGAUUUUAAUUCUGUGAGUUGUAAAUAAAAAUAAUAAC